rnacentral:rRNA from 1 species
AACGAACGCUGGCGGCAGGCUUAACACAUGCAAGUCGAACGGAUCCUUCGGGAUCAGUGGCGGACGGGUGAGUAACGCGUGGGAACCUACCCUGGGGUGGGGAAUAACCUUGGGAAACCGAGGCUAAUACCGCAUACGCCCUAUUGGGGAAAGACUAUGUUGCCCUGGGAUGGGCCCGCGUCCGAUUAGCUAGUUGGUGGGGUAAUGGCCUACCAAGGCUGCGAUCGGUAGCUGGUCUGAGAGGAUGAUCAGCCACACUGGGACUGAGACACGGCCCAGACUCCUACGGGAGGCAGCAGUGGGGAAUAUUGGACAAUGGGGGCAACCCUGAUCCAGCCAUGCCGCGUGAGUGAAGAAGGCCUUAGGGUUGUAAAGCUCUUUCACCCGUGACGAUGAUGACGGUAGCGGGAGAAGAAGCCCCGGCUAAUUCCGUGCCAGCAGCCGCGGUAAU